GGUAAGUUGGCUGAGUGCUUAAGCGGCGGGCUGUAGACCCGCUAAUGUGGGUUUAAUUCCCGUCCUUAUC
rnacentral:tRNA from 1 species